GUGGGGAAUUUUGGACAAUGGGCGCAAGCCUGAUCCAGCCAUGCCGCGUGCGGGAAGAAGGCCUUCGGGUUGUAAACCGCUUUUGUCAGGGAAGAAAAGCUCUGGGCUAAUACCCCGGGGUCAUGACGGUACCUGAAGAAUAAGCACCGGCUAACUACGUGCCAGCAGCCGCGGUAAUACGUAGGGUGCAAGCGUUAAUCGGAAUUACUGGGCGUAAAGCGUGCGCAGGCGGUGAUGCAAGACAGAUGUGAAAUCCCCGGGCUCAACCUGGGAACUGCAUUUGUGACUGCAUCGCUGGAGUGCGGCAGAGGGGGAUGGAAUUCCGCGUGUAGCAGUGAAAUGCGUAGAUAUGCGGAGGAACACCGAUGGCGAAGGCAAUCCCCUGGGCCUGCACUGACGCUCAUGCACGAAAGCGUGGGGAGCAAACAGGAUUAGAAACCCUGGUAGUCC
rnacentral:rRNA from 1 species